AUUGAACGCUGGCGGCAUGCCUUACACAUGCAAGUCGAACGGCAGCACGGGUGCUUGCACCUGGUGGCGAGUGGCGAACGGGUGAGUAAUACAUCGGAACAUGUCCUGUAGUGGGGGAUAGCCCGGCGAAAGCCGGAUUAAUACCGCAUACGUUCUACGGAUGAAAGCGGGGGACCUUCGGGCCUCGCGCUAUAGGGCUGGCCGAUGGCUGAUUAGCUAGUUGGUGGGGUAAAGGCCUACCAAGGCGACGAUCAGUAGCUGGUCUGAGAGGACGACCAGCCACACUGGGACUGAGACACGGCCCAGACUCCUACGGGAGGCAGCAGUGGGGAAUUUUGGACAAUGGGCGAAAGCCUGAUCCAGCAAUGCCGCGUGUGUGAAGAAGGCCUUCGGGUUGUAAAGCACUUUUGUCCGGAAAGAAAUCCUUGGCCCUAAUACGGUCGGGGGAUGACGGUACCGGAAGAAUAAGCACCGGCUAACUACGUG
rnacentral:rRNA from 1 species